CAGCCCCUCGAGUGGUGGGGAUGAUUAUUUGGCCUAAAGCGUCCGUAGCCGGCCGUGUAAGUCCCCCGUUAAAUCCAGCGUCUCAAGCGUUGGACUGCGGGAGAUACUGCUCGGCUAGAGAGUGGGAGAGGUGUGCGGUAUUCUGGGGGUAGGGGCGAAAUCCUUUGAUCCCCGGAGGACCACCAGUGGCGAAGGCUGCACACUAGAACACGUCUGACGGUCAGGGACGAAAGCUGGGGUAGCGAACCGGAUUAGAGACCCGAGUAGUCC
rnacentral:rRNA from 1 species